AUAAGAGCGUGUCACAUAUUUUUGCAGCCUUCAAAGAGUAACAUACUAUUGCAGGUGACUGUACAUUAUCAAUAUAUUGUAAGUAAAAGCAAUAUUUCCAUGUAUAAUACAAAUAGAACAAAAGACAUAUGUUUUGUAUUUAUUAUUUUUCAUCACAAUUGCUCGAAAAAGAUCUUAUUUCAUGCAGGUGUACUAAAGGAUAAAAGCCUAUAUUAUUCCCUAUUAGGAGUUAUGGAUUGUGAAAAAAAGCUAUAACUCCCUAGCUUUUUCGCGAUUUCGGGAUUGGUCCCAUAGUAAAAGUUGCUCAGUAUAAUCCCAAAACCUCCCUGGCAACGGGAAUGCACUUAUUUUUUGGCCACCGUGUAUAUGGAAAUACACCGUAGGUACUUGAAAGCACACAAGCACAUACCACAAGUACUAAGUAAUUCAUGGGACUGUGAAAACCGUACGAGUAAAACGAGUUUUUUGGAAACUCCAAUGUUAUAGUAAUUUUGUGUUAUCUUGGGGUUUUCAGAAAAAAUGGUACUUACCAUAAUUUACUUUUUUCGAAAAAUCAUCAACAUUUGGGUAAUUUAGACAGAAUCACGAGCACUAUUGAAUGAGACAAAGAAAGUGUCCCCAGUUUUUCAUACAAAUUUUGGAUGUCUAGUUUUGUAACGGUCCAUACAAAAUGUAAGUAGUAUGUGAAAACAUGUUACAAAAAAGUAACAUUUUUGUUUGGGACAUAUUUCUUUUUAUUUUUACCGACUUCCAAAUCUCAAAGAAGGAGGUUAUCAAUUCGGUUGUAUGUUUUUUUUUUAAUCGAUAGUCCUCGUGAUUCUGAGUAGAACUAACCCAAAAGUUGAUGUUACUUUUAAGUGAAAAUGCCCAUCUAUUAUGUAAGUGCACGAUGGAACUGUGAUCCUACGAGCGACAUAGGCAAUAAGAGUAAGCAAUAUAUUUACCUGCCAUGUCACAGAUGCUUCUAAAUUAAUAAAUUAUCUACUAUAUUUAA